GGGGAUGUAGCUCAGCUGGUAGAGCAUCGCGCUGGCAGCGCGAGGGUCAGGGGUUCGAGUCCCCUCAUCUCCACCA
rnacentral:tRNA from 1 species